CUAAGAAGAAGGGAGGUUUAAACUUAUUUCACUCGUGACCACGUGGCUAGCAAGGAAUUAACUUCUCCAAGGAGAGCUUUGUUACCUACCAACGGAUACUUAGAGACUACAGAAAGAAUCUCAACUCCUCUAAUAGUACUUCGUUAGGAAUGAGAUACUUGGGCGCAGGAAUUAACAUUUGCAGCCCUAUCCGUAUUACUCUUCCAAACUCUGCACCACGUUUUGUGCCCCUUUAUUUUCUUCUGUCAAGAACGUUUAAACUUUCCUUUCCAGGCACAGUUCUCUGCAGUUUGCAUAAAAGUUUUAGCAAGUAAGCAACAAAAUUAAGGUAAGUUAAUACUUUUUGCUACAUGAAUGCCCCAGAAACACCUCAAAUUCAAUAUAUCGCAAGUGGAUUUUAUAAUUUACCCCAAAUCUAUUUCUUCUGCACUGUAUCUACAAAAGUCAAUGGCGCCACUAACCUCAGAUUCAGUCACUAGCUACCAAUCCCAAUGACCAAUCAAUUUCCUUCAUUAAGACUAUUUCCAGUUUCAUGCUGUACACCAGACUCCGUGAUUUUUAUGUAUGUGACAAACUAUCAUAAUUAGAAAGGAAAAAAACCCAGGAUGAUAUGACAGAAAGAAAAUCAACUUUCAACUGAGCACAGCAGAAGACAUUUUUCCAUUUUCUGAUAUGAUUAUAUAACACUGAUGUUGAGCUAAAAAGGUCAAAUAAUUUCCAUCCCAUAUAUGAGAUAUGUCCAUAAGUUGAUUUUCCUAUCAUAUAAAAAAUAUAGAAGCAGCUAAAUAUGUAAAUAAUAUAUGGUCAGAGUUCAGAUGCUUUGACUAAAAAUUAUGAAUACAUUUGUAUAUCUUACUGUUCAACAGGACCUAACCUGACAAAUACUCUUACAAAUUAAACUUGUUUUUCUAAGUAAAGGAUAGUUGAACCAACAAUAGUGAGGUCCCCCUUCUCCCUGUCUGGGUCUUAGAAGGAAAGAAGCCAGUCAGACCUGUUCCCCCCUGCCCUCCACCGUCUCAUGAACCAGCCUGCAUGAGUAAACUUGGUCAGAAGUUGAUUUUUCCUCUAAUGGAGGGUAGUUAGGUUGGGGGAACCUCAUUAAAGAUCUGAGUCCUUGACACAGAUUGAGGCUGCUGCUUUGGUAUCACAUCCAUCUAUAAGGGUGAUGCUCUAUAGCACAUUGAGUGCCCUUUGGCACUCCCAUCAUCAUAGAGAUGGGGAUUGCUGAGUCUGAGGUAGGAGAAGCCAUUAACGUCAUGUCUAUCCUAAGCCAAGUCCAUGCUGAAGGAACACACAAGAACCCAUUAGAGGCUUUCAUUUGGAGGCAAAAGAUGGAAAAAAUGAGGCUGGGAAAUUAGUACUUUAUUUUUUUUUUUGGUCUAUACACCAAGCAGAUAGGCUUGAUUCAGUUAAACUAUAUGAUUUGUCAAGGAGGAAUCAAAAAAACAAUUAUUAUAAAGUUUAAAG
rnacentral:lncRNA from 1 species